CCAUAGGUUGAUUGCAUUAGUAUUCACGAAUAUGUUGCAUUGCAUCGUUAUUUGGUGAUGUGAGUGAAUGCUGAAUGAUCCAAUAGUCUCAGACAGGAAGUCCAGGAGCCUUUGACUACGCCCUGGCAGGUAUAGCGAAGUCCAGGAGCCUUUGACUACGCCCUGGCAGGUAUAUAGUAAAGUCCAGGAACCUUUGACUACGCCCUGGCAAUGGUAAGUACAG
rnacentral:lncRNA from 1 species